GGAGGAUAUAUACAGGGGGUACCGGUACAGAGUCAAUGUGGAGGAUAUAUACAGGGGGUACCGGUACAGAGUCAAUGUGGAGGCUAUAUACAGGGGGUACUGGUACAGAGUCAAUGUGGAGGCUAUAUACAGGGGGUACCGGUACAGAGUCAAUGUGGAGGCUAUAUACAGGGGGUACCGGUACAGAGUCAAUGUGGAGGCUAUAUACAGGGUAUUACGGUACAGAGUCAAUGUGGAGGAUAUAUACAGGGGGUACCGGUACAGAGUCAAUGUGGAGACUAUAUACAGGGGGUACCGGUACAGAGUCAAUGUGGAGACUAUAUACAGGGGGUACCGGUACAGAGUCAAUGUGGAGGCUAUAUACAG
ensembl:lncRNA